CUAUGCGCCUUGCCAGCCGCUCAGGUGUGCCAGCCGCCGCGGUAAUACGUAGGUGGCAAGCGUUAUCCGGAAUUAUUGGGCGUAAAGAGCGCGCAGGUGGUUAAUUAAGUCUGAUGUGAAAGCCCACGGCUUAACCGUGGAGGGUCAUUGGAAACUGGUUGACUUGAGUGCAGAAGAGGGAAGUGGAAUUCCAUGUGUAGCGGUGAAAUGCGUAGAGAUAUGGAGGAACACCAGUGGCGAAGGCGGCUUCCUGGUCUGCAACUGACGCUGAGGUUCGAAAGCGUGGGUAGCAAACAGG
rnacentral:rRNA from 1 species